rnacentral:lncRNA from 1 species
UGAGUAUCAGACUCCUGGUUGCUCAAUCAGUAACAACCAUAAUAUAGAUAUGUCUGAUAGUACAUCCACCUACAAUCGCUCCCAAUUUGGCCGUAAUAUUAGGCCACCCCGAAGACUUAAUCUUUAAGGUGGAGGUGUUUGAAAUGUAGGUUUAGUUUUAGAUAUUAUGUAAAAAGAAGACGAACAUUCGGCUAACUUCACUUGUAUCAUGUCCAUCUUGUAUCUUGUAUAAACAGUAAAGUAAUUACAGUAA